UACGUAGGGGGCUAGCGUUGUUCGGAUUUACUGGGCGUAAAGGGCGCGUAGGCGGCGUGGUAAGUCACUUGUGAAAUCUCUGAGCUUAACUCAGAACGGCCAAGUGAUACUGCUGUGCUAGAGUGCAGAAGGGGCAAUCGGAAUUCUUGGUGUAGCGGUGAAAUGCGUAGAUAUCAAGAGGAACACCUGAGGUGAAGACGGGUUGCUGGGCUGACACUGACGCUGAGGCGCGAAAGCCAGGGGAGCAAACGGG
rnacentral:rRNA from 1 species